UUUUUCUGGAUGGAACGCAUUGGGUCAUGGGAGAACAACAAGAAAGCAGCUCUUGAGGCUGAACUAAAACAAAUUGAGACUAUCGGUUCCAAUUUGUAGGAACGGUGUAUUUAGGUACUUUAGAACCUCAACUACCUUCAAGUAGAUUGUACAUUGUAAGGAAAUCAUAGUAAGCCUUCAGAUGUAUGAUCAUAGAGAAUUGGCAAGCAUCCAAUAGAAAUGGAGCACGUCAGAUAAUAAAGGUAUAUAUCUUAUGAAGGCUAGCAACUCAAGAGGAUACCUCUAACAUAUAAAGAAGAUAAGAACAAUCUAACGAUAUAGUUAACAGGUUCAACUGGAGUCGACAACUUCAUGAGUUUACUUUCAAAGAACAUUUUCAGAGACAAAC